rnacentral:rRNA from 1 species
UACGUAGGGUGCGAGCGUUAAUCGGAAUUACUGGGCGUAAAGCGUGCGCAGGCGGUUUUGUAAGCCAGAUGUGAAAUCCCCGGGCUUAACCUGGGAAUGGCAUUUGGGACUGCAAGGCUUGAGUGCGGCAGAGGAGACUGGAAUUCCUAGUGUAGCAGUGAAAUGCGUAGAUAUCAGGAGGGACACCGAUGGCGAAGGCAGGUCUCUGGGCUGACACUGACGCUCAUGCACGAAAGCGUGGGGAGCAAACAGG